AUCGCCACCUAUUCCCCCCUCCAAAAAAAAAGUUGAUAAGAGAAACUAAUGAUGUUAUUUUCAUUCCUCAUCCAACAAAGGUUCUACUUCUGGGUGUUCUUUCUAAGAGGAUUUUCAGUGAGUAAACAACUAUGAGUGAAAGCUCUAGGAGCUAGAUCGUCAAAUUGAAAAGUUACAAAAUGACUAAAUGAUGAGACUUC
rnacentral:lncRNA from 1 species